CAUAUCACAUUUUAUUUCAACCAAGCAGGAUACACAUUGUUUCUUUAUUCCCAACGUAACUAAACCAAUUUUAAUGAAAAUAAAAGAAAGAAAGAAAUGUCCCUUAUCCCUUUUACAUCCUGCAUUAUACUGUUAACUGUAUGAAUCUAUCUCCUUCUAUAUACAGCUCGAAGGACUGAUUUUCAGUCCCAGUAGCUACUAACCAGUUGCUAACUCCUCUAGUGAAGAACGCCUAAUGCCCAGUUAGAGACUAUUACAGAGGUAUUCCAAGAAACAACAACAAAGAAAAAAAAAGUGAGCUUGGCGUACUUCAUGGCAAAAUGGUUAAAAGCAUGUAUCAUUUGAUUUGCUUUCCGCGCAUAUAGCUUGAUAUUAGUGCAGCUGUGCAGGACUUGGAGGCGCCAACUUGUGAAAAAAAAGUAUUGGCAGCUGCCAAGUGCAUUUGGAUUGGCAUGGAGAGUCGAAGAUCUCCUUCCUAUUCUGAACCAAAAUAGCUGUCUUGUACCGAUAGCCGGUCGAAGGCAUCAAAAUUUGCCUUUAGACCAACAAACUGGCUUCCAAGCUGUGCACACGCUGCAUCAGGCCAUCUACAUCCUUCCCUGGUGCGGAAAGGGCAGAGUGACUCACAGAUAUGGUUGCUUGGUGUUUCUGAAACCAAGCUGUCCUCAAUCGCGGUGAUGGAUACAGAGAAGUCGGAACUUUUUUCGUGCUGGGACUCAAAAUCUGUGUCUCUUCGAAAUGAAUAUGUCAGCCCCUCAGUUUUCUCCACCUGGCUUUCAUUCGUGCCGAAAUUAACCGUACAGCCCAACGAUCGCACUGCCUUUCUGAUGGCAACGCUCUCCCUUUGAGCACGUUGAGCCAUGGCCAAGGCUGAACUACUUGCACGCUUCUCCCUCUGUAAUUCUAAUUGCAUAGAUUCCAUCUUCGUUUUAAUAUCUUUUACCCUUGAUUCAGCUGUGUCCUUUGCCUUUACCUUCAUUGCUUCUGUGUACUUUUUAUUCAUGGCAUGCCAUUGAGAUUCAAGAUCACCACCUUGAGAUUCAAUGGGGCAUGUCCAUCUCAAAUAAAAUUGGGGCCAAAGGGUAGGAGCAAGUGCUGCAGCAGGUGGCACUAGGGGACCAUUAUGCUUUAAUGGAUCAUAGAAUGGAUUACGAUGCUUAUGGAAGCUGCCACCAGAAGCUCGGAGAUCAGCCAAGUACGUCCACAUGCAAUGGCAAGAGCUUACAGCACCAGAUUGCUCCCUUUCUCGCUCCCUAUUGCACAAGAAGUUCCCAAAGCGGCAUGACAACACACAAUCCAUAAAGUCAACAAGGAAUUUCUGCAGUGAAAAGCAGUUCAGUACUGUUUUAACACAGGGCGCCCAAGAAAGAAUAGAUUACCUGUAACAGUAUGGGUGAAGAGUUGUUUGAUGUCUGGGAUUGACCAGAAGUAGUAUUAGACGUUGACACUGAUGAUCCUAAAGCACCUCUGUUUGGUGAAUUGCUCAAAGUCCCAAGAGAAGGUUGUCUUAGCAGCUCAAACUGUGAUCCACUAUUAUUAUCAGUUAUCGUUGGAACUCCCAUUCGCUCUGCAAAUGGAUGGCCAAAUGCUAGCCAAUCCUUUUCCACAAGGGCCUGGAACCCAUUGAACGUUCUAUAAUAUGGAUCAAGCAACAAACAAGCAAGUGCAACCAACUGAGUUGUGCGGUCCCAACCAUCACUGCAAUGGACGAGAACAGAAGCUGAUUCUUGGACAAUUUGUGCAGCAAUCCACGAAGCACCGACCAUGAUACUCUGGAUAUGGUUUAGCCACUCCCCUAACAUUGAAGAAAAUUGUGUCAUGCUAUUCAGAUUCCCUCCACCCCAGGUUGAUCCACGAUUUCUCUGCUUACCCGGUCUCCAACAAGAGAUACAGCUGAUGAUGUUCCAUUUGAUGAUACUGAUCCAUGGGUAUCAACAUAGUCCCUAAGGCGAAAAAGACUAUCUCUCAUUGUGUGGAUAUUUUGUAUUCCUAAAAAGAGAACCUGAUCUUGGGUAGUUUGAUGCUGACUCUGAGCCACCUCCCUUUGCACCAUUUGCUAAAGCAUUUGCUCUUGGCCGGGCAUCAACUAUAUAUAACUUCCUAGACCCAGUGGCAUCAAUAAUUUGGGUGCAAAGAGCAGAAACAAGCUUCUCAUCGAUGGAUAUGGUCUCACUUCCGAAAAUUCAUCAUCAAUCCUACCAAUGGCUGAGAUGACCUUGCCAGAACAGCUCCAGACCCUGGUCACACCACGAAAUAACAGGCAAGCGUCUGCCGGAUCGGAAAGAAGAAGCUUGCAAUAAAUCUUCAUCACUUAUGCUCCUUGGCACAAUCAAUGCAGAUGGGUACGUCGAACAUAGUGAGUAGGUGGAAUUUACUUUACUUACCCUCCACCAUUCAUUACGCAAGUCUUUUUCGAACUCGGAUCCACUAUGCGGGAACCAUUUCCUAAAAAGGCGAUGGUAUUCCUUCAAGAGCCGCAUCUUUGGAUCAGAUUUCUGAUAAACAGUGGAGGGAUCACAAGAAAAUGCAUAUAGAUCCCACAGAUGAGUAGGUUUGCUAUAUCUUCUCAAAGCAUCAAACACUUCGUUUUUCUGAAAAGAUAACUGACUUACAAAGUAAAAAAAGAAAAAAAUAUAUUACCGAUGACUUGAAGAAGUUCACGGGGCUGCUUCUUAUCAUGCUGGCGGGGCAAGGGUUGAAGCUUUACACUUACAUCAUUUAUCUUCUCAAUUGCAGUUAGUGGGAUGGUACCCAACUCUAUAACGCCUUUUGUGGCUUGGCUCUGUAAAAGGGUCGGAAAUUUGUCACUGAAAGAAUGCCAGCCUCAUCUGUGUUUAGUAGAACAACACCAUGACCCUGGGCGUAAACCUCCUCAUCCUCGAGGAGGAAGUCCUCCAUGCCCCGGGACGAACUCCGCGGCGGCCUCGGCUCCUUGAUUUGGUUCCAGUCUAUGGCGUCCCAGCUGCCGGAGCCGUCCAUCUCCGGCGGCGGCGGCGGCGGCGGCGGUGGCGCCCGCGGCUUCGCGGCGUCGCGGGCGACAGAGAGGGAGGG
rnacentral:sRNA from 1 species